rnacentral:hammerhead_ribozyme from 1 species
AUCCAGCUGACGAGUCCCAAGUAGGACGAAACGCACGUCCUUUAU